ensembl:miRNA MIR148B microRNA 148b
GCACUAUUAGCAUUUGAGGUGAAGUUCUGUUAUACACUCAGGCUGUGGCUCUCUGAAAGUCAGUGCAUCACAGAACUUUGUCUCGAAAGCUUUCUA